rnacentral:rRNA from 1 species
GAUGAACGCUGGCGGCGUGCCUAAUACAUGCAAGUCGAGCGAACAGACGAGUAGCUUUCUCCUCUUACGUUUGCGGCUGACGGGUGAGUAACACGUGUAUAACCUACCUAUAUUACUUGUAUAACUUCGUGAAACCGUAUCUAAUACCGUAUAAUAUAUUGAACCGCAUUGUUCAUUAGUUCAUUACGGUUUUUCUGUCUCUUAUAGAUGGUUCCGCGCGGCAUUAGCUAGUUGGUAAGGUAACGGCUUACCAAGGCAACGAUGCGUAGCCGACCUGAUAGGGUGAGCGGAGAAACGGGAAGGGAGACACGGACAAGAGUACUACGGGAGGCAGCAGAAGGGAAUGUGCCGCAAUGGGGGAAAGCCUGACGGAGCAAAGCCGAGUGAGUGAAGAAGGUGUUAGGAUCGUAAAAAAAUGUUAUUAGGGAAGAAAAAAAGUGUAAGUAAAUAUGCACGUAUUGACGGUAACGAAUAAGAAAGCAACGGCUAACUACGUG